AGAAUGAACGCUGGCGGCGUGCCUAACACAUGCAAGUCGUGCGCGAAAGGGACUUCGGUCCCCGGUAGAGCGGCGAACGGGUGAGUAACACGUGGGUAACCUGUCUGAGAGUGGGGGAUAACCUGGGGAAACUCGGGCUAAUACCGCAUACGUCCGCUGGGCUUCGGCUCGGCGAGGAAAGGUGGCCUCUGCUUGCAAGCCACCACUCCCAGAGGGGCCCGCGCCUGAUUAGCUAGUUGGCGGGUAACGGCCCACCAAGGCGACGAUCAGUAGCCGGCCUGAGAGGGCGAACGGCCAACGACGUGGAACUAGAGACACGGUCCAGACUCCUACGGGAGGCAGCAGUCGAGGAAUCUGCGCGAAUGGGGGAAACCCUGACGACAGCAACGCCGCGUGGAGGAUGAAGGCGUUUCGGGUCGUAAACCUCCGUGUCAGAGUGGAACGAAGCGUUGCGGCGAAUAGUACCGUAAGCUUGACGGUACCAUCGAGGAAGACG
rnacentral:rRNA from 1 species